rnacentral:tRNA from 1 species
GGCCGGUUAGCUCAGCUGUUUAGAGCGUGGUGCUAAUAACGCCAAGGUCCUGGGUUCGAUCCUCAUACUGGCCA